UAAUACGGAGGGUGCAAGCGUUAAUCGGAAUUACUGGGCGUAAAGCGCACGCAGGCGGUUUGUUAAGUCAGAUGUGAAAUCCCCGGGCUCAACCUGGGAACUGCAUUUGAAACUGGCAAGCUAGAGUCUCGUAGAGGGGGGUAGAAUUCCAGGUGUAGCGGUGAAAUGCGUAGAGAUCUGGAGGAAUACCGGUGGCGAAGGCGGCCCCCUGGACGAAGACUGACGCUCAGGUGCGAAAAGCGUGGGGAGCAAACAGGAUUAGAUACCCUGGUAGUCCACGCUGUAAAACGAUGUCGAUUUGGAGGUUGUGCCCUUGAGGCGUGGCUUCCGGAGCUAACGCGUUAAAAUCGACCGCCUGGGGAGUACGGCCGCAAAGGUUA
rnacentral:rRNA from 1 species